CAGCACCUCAAGUGGUCAGGAUGAUUAUUGGGCCUAAAGCAUCCGUAGCCUGCUUUGUAAGUUUUCGGUUAAAUCUGUACGCUCAACGUACAGGCUGCCGGGAAUACUGCAGCGCUAGGGAGUGGGAGAGGUAGACGGUACUCGGUAGGAAGGGGUAAAAUCCUUUGAUCUAUUGAUGACCACCUGUGGCGAAGGCGGUCUACCAGAACACGUCCGACGGUGAGGGAUGAAAGCUGGGGGAGCAAACCGGAUUAGAUACCCGCGUAGUCC
rnacentral:rRNA from 1 species